rnacentral:rRNA from 1 species
CAAUAGCGUAUAUUAAAGUUGUUGCGGUUAAAAAGCUCGUAGUUGGAUUUCUGCUGAGAACGACCGGUCCGCCCUUUGGGUGUGUAUCUGGCUCUUUCUUGGCAUCUUCUUGGUGAACGUUGCUGCACUUGACUGUGUGGAGCGCUACCCAGGACUUUUACUUUGAGGAAAUUAGAGUGUUUCAAGCAGGCAUACGCCUUGAAUACAUUAGCAUGGAAUAAUAAGAUAGGACCUCGGUUCUAUUUUGUUGGUUUCUAGAGCUGAGGUAAUGAUUAAUAGGGAUAGUUGGGGGCAUUCGUAUUUAACUGUCAGAGGUGAAAUGCUUGGAUUUGUUAAAGACGGACUACUGCGAAAGCAUUUGCCAAGGAUGUUUUCAUUGA